AAAAAAAGGGUGAAUUAUGAAUUUUCCUUGGGUAUAAACAUAGAGUCAUUAAAGUAAUGCCAACAUCCAGAUGUAAUCAUGGUAACGACAGACUGAGGGCAAACGAAAUUAAACCAGUUGGGUGAAUUAGCUCAGCAAGUGACGGUUCACAGGAGUGUCUUUAUCUACUCUAUCCACAUACUGUGUGUGCAUAAUUGCAGGGAUCAUUGAAGAUAAAACCAGAACAAAUUUAGAAGAUGAAAACCAAUAUUGACUAUAAGUAUAUGAGAUGUUUUCCAAGUAUUCUGUUUAUCGUCAGAAGGAUUCUCAAUGACGUUUUGAUAUGAGAUCCCUAAAAUGUUUGAGAAAUACCUGUUGUUUUGUUUGGCUUUUUGUUGUGUUUUUUUUUUUUUCUGAGUUUCUUAUUCUACAGACCUAACUAGUGUUUUAUUUAGUAAGCUUUUUUUCUCAAAUUUUAGUGGGGGCAGAUAAAAUACCGGUAUUUCUAUAGACAAGGGAGUCCUGGUAUUGAUUAUUUUCUUUUAACUGUUAAUAGUAGUUGUAAGAACGAUGCAACAGUGUCUAUGUUGGGCAAUGGCACUUUAAUUUUAAGCCUUCUAAAGAAGGUAGGUUUAAAUUUAGAAAAUGAAGAGAGUUUACCAUGCAUUAAAGCCUUUCUGUUUGAACAGUAUACAUAAAAAAUCACCAACAAAAGCAUGACCUUAUGUAAAAAUAGCUUUAAAAAUUUAGAUGUUAUCUUUGUAUAUAUAUGCCUUUUCAUCCUUUCGCAGUACAAGUGGAAUUACAAUCAUAGCACUAACCCACACCAUUGUCUGAUUACCCAGUGAGUAGAUGUUUCUCUAAAAAUACACCUUUAUCUCUUCACAUUCUCAGAGCUAGUAUCAACAGCAUCCUAUAGCUGCAUUUUUAUUAGUUCACAGUCUCACAAACAUUAUAGUAACUCAGUAAACAAGGAAGAUUGGAAAGUAGUACUAAAGAGUCAAUAUCUAGAAAAGAACAAUUCUGAUGACCUAGAUUCUGGAGUUACUUAUGUAAUCCAACUCCUGUUGUUACAGAUGGAAGACUAUAAUAUCUAUAUUCAGAGGUGUGUAGGUGCCUCACUCUCAUUGAAUUAAAAUGAGAAUUAUGCUCCUAACUACCUUUCUGAAUCUGAGAUAAAGUGAUUUCUGCAGCAUUUAGUGUCAUCAGUGUGGAAUUUCUGUCUGCUUCAAUGCAGUUAUUUUGCAUUUACUCUGUCUCAGUAACAAUAAAAUCCUGGCCACAGAGCUAAUUUGUUGUCUAUAAAUGUUCAGUGAUUUUACACUUUGGAAAGAGAAGUCUUACAAAUGAAAUCCUGUUGAGAAAGCGUAUUUAUGAUUUGAAGAAAAAAGAUUAUUCUCCAAGAUUCAUCCCCAUGCCUUUCUUAGAUUGCUUGCAGCAAUUUCAACCAUUACUGCAGAGUCUGACUUAAAAUGCAGAGGGAGCAAUGUGUCUAUAUAUUAGCAAGGUCUUUCAUUAAGUCUUUACUUUUAAAAAUAAUUGGUUCUUUUAAUCUAUAAUGGAACAUGGACUUACAGGCUGUCUGUGAUUAAAAUUAAACCUUAUUUGUCUUUUAA